UAACCUGCCCAAGAGAUCGGGAUAACACCUGGAAACAGAUGCUAAUACCGGAUAACAACAGAUGAUGCCUAUCAACUGUUUAAAAGAUGGUUCUGCUAUCACUCUUGGAUGGACCUGCGGUGCAUUAGCUAGUUGGUAAGGUAACGGCUUACCAAGGCGAUGAUGCAUAGCCGAGUUGAGAGACUGAUCGGCCACAUUGGGACUGAGACACGGCCCAAACUCCUACGGGAGGCAGCAGCG
rnacentral:rRNA from 1 species